GAGUUUGAUCGUGGCUCAGAUUGAACGCUGGCGGCAUGCUUUACACAUGCAAGUCGAACGGAGUUAAGGGGCUUGCUCCUUAACUUAGUGGCGAACGGGUGAGUAAUGCAUCGGAACGUGCCCGGGAGUGGGGGAUAACUUACCGAAAGGUAGGCUAAUACCGCAUAUUCUGUGAGCAGGAAAGCAGGGGACCUUCGGGCCUUGUGCUUCCGGAGCGGCCGAUGUCCGAUUAGCUAGUUGGUGAGGUAAAGGCUCACCAAGGCGACGAUCGGUAGCGGGUCUGAGAGGAUGAUCCGCCACACUGGGACUGAGACACGGCCCAGACUCCUACGGGAGGCAGCAGUGGGGAAUUUUGGACAAUGGGCGAAAGACCUGAUCCAGCAAUGCCGCGUGAGUGAUGAAGGCCUUAGGGUUGUAAAAGCUCUUUUACCAGGGAUGAUAAAUGACAGUACCUGGAGAAUAAAGCUCC
rnacentral:rRNA from 1 species